AAGCACAACGUAAUUUUUAAAGCUUAACGAGAGGACAAUAUUUAAUGUCUUACUACCGAAAAACGGAGGGAAAAGGGUACCCUUGAACCCAAGGGCCCCUGGACUGGCACUUAGAUUAGAAGCAGCUCUUUGAAGUCCUCGGGAGGACAUCAGCCGCCACCCGAAAGAAAGUAAAUUUAGCUGUGUGUCCUCUCUUCCAGUGUUUCUCCCAAACCCACGCGGACGUUAUGGCAUGUCAUCAUCUGCUGCUUCACAGGAGGAACUUCCAGAAAGUGAAAACCUGAGAAGAUGUUUGCACUGCCUCGGGGCACACCCCCCAACACUGCUGACCCACAGCCCAGGACACAGCUUUCUGUGGGGAUCGAGGACAGAUGGAGAAAGUGUUAGCCAUAUGAUUCCUGUUACCAUCAAAAACAAUCAUACUGUGUGAUACAGACCAUCUGUUUAAGAUAUGGCAGACACACUUGGAAAAUCCAGAAUAAUGAGAUCUCAAAUCCAUCAUUUGUUAGAGAUGUUAUGGGUCCAAGAAGAUGCCCUUUGGGUCCUCUGUGCUGAGGCGUCAUUAGAUGGAUCAGCCAGACCUCACACCUACCUGUGCUCGACAUCUCACGUCAUAACUGCGUGUCCCUUGGCUGGCUGACCUGGGGUUGGACUGUGCUGUUGGCACAGUGCUGGCCGCCCACAAGGGUGUGGUGACAAUUGCUGAAGUAAAUGCCAUACAGCAUUCUGAGCAAUUCAAAAGAGGGAUGCUGGCCAGCUACCCAAAGCCAUGGCAAC